rnacentral:lncRNA from 1 species
GUGUGUUGUUUCAGUCAGAAAGUGCACCUGGUGGAGCGUUGGUUGCCCACUCUGGAAGCCCUCCUGGAGUGGACCAGGGCAGACACCAUGACUACCGGGUGUUCAUCAGCGGGGAGCCAGCGCCCAUCCCUGACCAGCACAUCAUCCCCAGAGACAUCCUGGAGGACGCCAGCAAGAUCCCCAACGAGCUACCCUCCGGCAGGCACGCCAGUCUGCACGCUGCCUUCCACAACUUCAACCAGGAUACCCUGGAGAUGUGUUCUCGGGAGCAGGAGUUCAACAAUCUGUUCUUCUCCCUCUGCUACCUCCAUGCCUGUGUGACGGAGCGCAGGAAGUUUGAUCCCCAGGGCUGGAACAGAUCUUAACCCUUCAACACAGGAGACCUGGUCAUCUCUGUAAACGUGCUCUACAACUACAUGGAAACCAACACCAAAGUAAUGCUCACAUUCCCAAAACCUUUCAAAAAUCCCCAGGUUUUCCACAAAUCCAGGUUGGAGGAAUCAGGAACUACUCCGGAAUUAAUUUACCCUUCACUAUGCUCCGCCCCCCCUUGGUUACUGUUGCAACCUCAGUCAACAUUUUCCUGGGAAGCCUGUUUCCCCAUACGAACCACUGGCAAAAUCCCCUCACAAUGAUCUCAAACUGUUGGGUAUGUGGUGGCACCCGAUAGUUUAAUCGGGUGGUUGUGGUGGACUGUCAUUACAAUUGAUUCACAAGAACCUGGUAAAAUUAAGGUUGUAGUGUGUCUAGCCACUGGAUGGUUCUGGAUGCACUGUCACCAUGCAGCCAAACCUAGUAACUAGGAGUGUGCCGAUCUCGUCAUACUCAUAUUCCUAAUCGUAUCCGUUUUAUCACACUCGAUACUCGUAAUCGGAUUUACUGGCGAUCGGAAAACCCGGAAGUGCACUUUAAAUGCCGGUAAAGGCUAUACCUCAGGUCUACAUUACUGCUCUAUCACUUAGAAUGCAUCAUUAUGUUCCUUCACUCAUUCACACACAUUGUUCAACGAUAAAUGACCCCGACAGAUGAAAAUGCACAUGAUUUACUUACUUAGUCCUAUUCAACUAUCAAUGAAAUAGGCCAAAAAAUAGCCUAAUGCAUGGCUGGCUACUGCAGCCUGUAUUUAUUCCAGACACAGAUUCGGAUGAAGGUAG